GUAGGUGGCAAGCGUUGUCCGGAAUUAUUGGGCGUAAAGCGCGCGCAGGCGGUUCUUUAAGUCUGAUGUGAAAGCCCACGGGCUCAACCGUGGAGGGUCAUUGGAAACUGGAGAACUUGAGUACAGAAGAGGAAAGCGGAAUUCCACGUGUAGCGGUGAAAUGCGUAGAGAUGUGGAGGAACACCAGUGGCGAAGGCGGCUUUCUGGUCUGUAACUGACGCUGAGGCGCGAAAGCGUGGGGAGCAAACAGGAUUAGAUACCCUGGUAGUCCACGCCGUAAACGAUGAGUGCUAAGUGUUAGGGGGUUUCCGCCCCUUAGUGUUGCAGCUAACGCAUUAAGCACUCCGCCUGGGGAGUACGGCCGCAAAGGCUG
rnacentral:rRNA from 1 species